UACGGAGGGUGCGAGCGUUAAUCGGAAUAACUGGGCGUAAAGGGCACCCAGGCGGGCUUUUAAGUGAGAUGUGAAAUCCCCGGGCUUAACCUGGGAAUAGCAUUUCAGACUGGGAGUCUAGAUUACUUUAGGGAGGAGUAGAAUUUCACGUGUAGCGGUGAAAUGCGUAGAGAUGUGGAGGAAUACCGAAGGCGAAGGCAGCCCCUUGGGGAUGUACUGACGCUCAUGUGCGAAAGCGUGGGGAGCAAACAGG
rnacentral:rRNA from 1 species